rnacentral:rRNA from 1 species
AUUGAACGCUGGCGGCAUGCCUUACACAUGCAAGUCGAACGGUAACGGGCCUUCGGGUGCCGACGAGUGGCGAACGGGUGAGUAAUGUAUCGGAACGUACCUUUCAGUGGGGGAUAACGUAGCGAAAGUUACGCUAAUACCGCAUAUUCUGUGAGCAGGAAAGCAGGGGAUCGCAAGACCUUGCGCUGAUUGAGCGGCCGAUAUCAGAUUAGCUAGUUGGUGAGGUAAAGGCUCACCAAGGCGACGAUCUGUAGCGGGUCUGAGAGGAUGAUCCGCCACACUGGAACUGAGACACGGUCCAGACGCCUACGGGAGGCAGCAGUGGGGAAUUUUGGACAAUGGGGGCAACCCUGAUCCAGCCAUGUCGCGUGAGUGAAGAAGGCCUUCGGGUUGUAAAGCUCUUUCGGCCGGGAAGAAAUCGUAUCAGCUAAUACCUGGUGCGGAUGACGGUACCGGCAUAAGAAGCACCGGCUAACUACGUGCCAGCCGCCGCCGUAAUAC